CAGUAGCCGCGGUAAUACGGAGGAUCCAAGCGUUAUCCGGAAUCAUUGGGUUUAAAGGGUCCGUAGGCGGUCUUGUAAGUCAGUGGUGAAAGCCCAUCGCUCAACGGUGGAACGGCCAUUGAUACUGCAGGACUUGAAUUAUUGGGAAGUAACUAGAAUAUGUAGUGUAGCGGUGAAAUGCUUAGAGAUUACAUGGAAUACCAAUUGCGAAGGCAGGUUACUACCAAUUGAUUGACGCUGAUGGACGAAAGCGUGGGUAGCGAACAGGAUUAGAUACCCGUGUAGUCCCUGUCUCUUAUAA
rnacentral:rRNA from 1 species